UUCUAUUCCUCCUUCCCCAUUUCCAUCGCUGACCUUGUCUGGUCGUAUCUCAGUGUUUUUCCAUUCACCGCAAAGUUUUUCGCAUCUUUUUACAUUCUGUUAAUUGUUUUGCUUGCGCGUCAACCAUUAUUAUCCCAUGUAUUUCUUUGUUUCCUGUCCUUGUUCGACCUUAUUUUCAAUUCCUCGUUCCGUUCCGGUUGUAUAUUAUUUGUUAAAAGCAUUUAAGUUUGAAAGGGCUCAUUUCACCGAGUUCUUUGACACUUAAAUACCCACUGACUUGACAGCAGGUUGGGGCAUAUUUGUCUACAAUAAUCAAAGUUUAUUAAAGUAUUUUCUGAGAAGUGUGUCACACAAUUUGUCUAAUUAAAUUUAUUUCAGGCUUAUUCUAUAAAUAAAUUCCAUGUUGUUAUAUAAAAUUGAUUGAAGUAAUAAUUCCUCAUACUAGGAAUAAAGUUACUUUGCAUAAAGACAAUUGAUUAAAUUAAGUUCUGCUGUUCAGAUACAAUUAGCUAAAUGGUUUUAUUUUAAAAUGAAUAAAUUAAGUGAAGAAAAUAAAAGGUUUGUCGACCCGCUCUUAGCUGUCCAUCCGUCUGUCUAUCAGUCUGUUUGUGCUGUAGGUUCAACAAACAGGGUCUCCUUCUUAUCACACGCUCUGUCGCGCUGUCGAGAGCAAAGCAGUACAGCAGCUGCCCCACGAGACUUUGUACUGAGAACGAGAGCGAGAGAUCGUGAGAGGGGUUAAAGGAAGGCCAGUGUAAUAGAAGUCGACAAUACAUCCAAUCAAAGCAAAAGAGAAAUAACAAUAAUUUGGAUUUGUGUUCGAUGAAUGCAGCCAGCCCACAACAACUACAUAGAAUGAGUCUCGGCUUGGUUUACAAUGUGUAGUAGUCGCAAUCGAUUGCAGACAAUGUUUGCAUGUUAUUUUUUGUGUGGAUUGGAAAUGAAACUACUUUGCAAUUUUCUUUA